AAUGAACGCUGGCGGCAGGCCUAACACAUGCAAGUCGAGCGGAUGAAGGGAGCUUGCUCCUGGAUUCAGCGGCGGACGGGGGAGUAAUGCCUAGGAAUCUGCCUGGUCGUGGGGGAUAACGUCCGGAAACGGGCGCUAAUACCGCAUACGUCCUGAGGUCGCAAGUGGGGGGUCUUCGGACCUCAUGCUAUCAGAUGAGCCUAGGUCGGAUUAGCUAGUUGGUGGGGUAAAUGCCUACCAAGGCGACGAUCCUGAACUGGUCUGAGGGGAUGAUCAGUCAGCCUGGAUCUGAGACUGAGCCGACACUCCGACGGUAAGACGCAGUGGGGAAUAUUGGGCGAUGGAGGAAUGCCUGAUCCAGCCAUGCGGCGUGUGUGAAGAAGGUCUUCGGCUUGUAAAGCGCUGUAAGUUUGGAGGAAGUAAAGUAAUUUUAUACCUUGCUGUAUUGACGUUACCAACAGAAUAAGCACCGGCUAACUUCGUG
rnacentral:rRNA from 1 species